rnacentral:sRNA from 1 species
AUAUUAAGAAAAUAAGAAUUAAGUUAAAACUAACGCAGCGGCGGCGAAACGAACAUAGAUACUUGCGGCAGCGGCAGCGUCGGCGGCAUCCAAACGAACAUAAAUGUUGCGUCAGCGGCAGUGGCGACGAAACGAAUAACAAUCUGCGGUAGAGUUUCCCGCUGCCGCUGCCGCCUGCGGUGAACAAACAAACAAACUAAAUAAUGUCUUGUUGGAUAUGCAAUUGAAGAAGAUAGGAAACAAAAUUCUUAACU